rnacentral:rRNA from 1 species
GAUGAACGCUGGCGGCGUGCCUAAUACAUGCAAGUCGAACGAAGGUAUUUAUACCUUAGUGGCGAACGGGUGAGUAACACGUAGGUAACCUGCCCUCAAGCCGAGGAUAACAGUUGGAAACGACUGCUAAUACUCGAUAGGUAAUUUCUUGGCAUCAAGAAAUUAUUAAAGAUCCGUAUGGAUUACUUGGGGAGGGACCUGCGCCGCAUUAGUUAGUUGGUGGGGUAAUGGCCUACCAAGACAAUGAUGCGUAGCCGGACUGAGAGGUUGAACGGCCACACUGGGACUGAGACACGGCCCAGAUUCCUACGGGAGGCAGCAGUAGGGAAUUUUCGGCAAUGGGGGGAACCCUGACCGAGCAACGCCGCGUGAAUGAAGAAGCAUUUAGGUGCGUAAAUUCUUUUAUUAAGGAAGAACAUUAUUGAUAGGAAAUGAUUAGUAACUGACGGUACUUAAUGAAUAAGGCCCGGC